UGAAAAGAACUUUGAAAAGAGAGUUAAACAGUACGUGAAAUUGUUGAAAGGGAAACGAUUGAAGUCAGUCAUACCAACGGGAAAUCAACCUUUUGAGCUCGGUCUCGUGGGUUUUGAAGAGUUUCAAAGCCUUCGGAUUCGCGGGAUUGGGAUCUCUUGGUGUACUUUUUCGUACGGUUAGUCAACAUCGGUUUUGAAUGUCAUAAAAUGACUGGA
rnacentral:rRNA from 1 species